rnacentral:rRNA from 1 species
GAUGAACGCUGGCGGCGUGCCUAAUACAUGCGAGUCGAGCGAAAAGACGAGGAGCUUGCUCCUCUGACGUUAGCGGCGGACGGAUGAGUAACACGUGGAUAACCUACCUAUAAGACUGGGAUAACUUCGGGAAACCGGAGCUAAUAACGGAUAAUAUAUCGAACCGCAUGGUUCAAUAGUGAAAGACGGUUUUGCUGUUACAUAUAGAUGGAUCCGCGUCGCAUUAGCUAGUUGGUAAGGUAACGGCUUACCAAGGCGACGAUGCGUAGCCGACCUGAGAGGGUGAUCGGCCACACUGGAACUGAGACACGGUCCAGACUCCUACGGGAGGCAGCAGUAGGGAAUCUUGCGCAAUGGGCGAAAGCCUGACGGAGCAACGCCGCGUGGGUGAUGAAGGUCUUCGGAUCGUAAAACUCUUUUAUUAGGGAAGAACAGAUGUGUGAGUAACUAUGCACGUCUUGACGGUACCUAAUCAGAAAGCCACGGCUAACUACGUG